UACAGAGGGUGCAAGCGUUGUUCGGAAUUAUUGGGCGUAAAGGGCGCGUAGGCGGUUCGGCAAGUCUCUAGUGAAAUCUCUGGGCUCAACUCAGAGUCUGCUGGGGAAACUGCCGGGCUUGAGUGUGGGAGAGGAGAGUGGAAUUCCCGGUGUGAGCGGUGAAAUGCGUGAGAUAUCGGGGAAGGAACGACCUGUGGCGAAAGGCGGCCUCUCUGGACCACAACU
rnacentral:rRNA from 1 species